rnacentral:rRNA from 1 species
AGUGAACGCUGGCGGUAGGCCUAACACAUGCAAGUCGAACGGCAGCACAGUAAGAGCUUGCUCUUACGGGUGGCGAGUGGCGGACGGGUGAGGAAUACAUCGGAAUCUACUUUUUCGUGGGGGAUAACGUAGGGAAACUUACGCUAAUACCGCAUACGACCUACGGGUGAAAGCAGGGGAUCUUCGGACCUUGCGCGAUUGAAUGAGCCGAUGUCGGAUUAGCUAGUUGGCCGGGUAAAGGCCCACCAAGGCGACGAUCCGUAGCUGGUCUGAGAGGAUGGUCGGCCACACUGGAACUGAGACACGGUCCAGACUCCUACGGGAGGCAGCAGUGGGGAAUAUUGGACAAUGGGCGCAAGCCUGAUCCAGCCAUACCGCGUGGGUGAAGAAGGCCUUCGGGUUGUAAAGCCCUUUUGUUGGGAAAGAAAAGCAGCAGGUUAAUACCCCGCUGUUCUGACGGUACCCAAAGAAUAAGCACCGGCUAACUUCGUG